rnacentral:rRNA from 1 species
UACGUAGGGUGCAAGCGUUUAAUCGGAAUUACUGGGCGUAAAGCGUGCGCAGGCGGUUUUGUAAGUCUGCCGUGAAAUCCCCGGGCUCAACCUGGGAAUUGCGAUGGAGACUGCAAGGCUAGAAUCUGGCAGAGGGGGGUAGAAUUCCACGUGUAGCAGUGAAAUGCGUAGAGAUGUGGAGGAACACCGAUGGCGAAGGCAGCCCCCUGGGUCAAGAUUGACGCUCAUGCACGAAAGGCGUGGGGAGCAAACGAGGAUUAGAGUA